rnacentral:rRNA from 1 species
UACGAAGGGUGCAAGCGUUACUCGGAAUUACUGGGCGUAAAGCGUGCGUAGGCGGUUUGUUAAGUCCGUUGUGAAAGCCCUGGGCUCAACCUGGGAAUUGCAGUGGAUACUGGCGGGCUAGAGUGCGGUAGAGGAUGGUGGAAUUCCCGGUGUAGCGGUGAAAUGCGUAGAGAUCGGGAGGAACACCCGUGGCGAAGGCGGCCAUCUGGACCAGCACUGACGCUGAGGCACGAAAGCGUGGGGAGCAAACAGG